UCACCGGGACCAUCGAGCCCAGAUCUACGGGGAGUCACACUCAAAGUCUUCCCCCGUCUUUCAACCCCACCCGACUUCUCUCUUCCUUGUUCCAAUCCUCCACUCUUCCCUGCCGGAAACGGCGCCCCUUCCUCCUACAGUUCCGCCCGCCAGUCUGGACUCUGGUCUCCCCUCGUGCCCUAGAGUGACACGAAGGACCCCUUCUUCUUUUCCGCGGCCCCUCCUCCCCGCACGCAGGGAGACUGUUGGAGGGGUGGGGUGGAGCCCAGGGAAGAAGAGAAAGGAAGCCAACUGGAUUGGAUCAGCAGCUGCCAUGGAAACUGGAGCUGUAGUAUUGUCAUGAACCGAGGAGGUUGUGCCCCCCAUGGAGGCCCCGCUGGAUUAUCCGAAGGAGACCGAGUCGCUCCCUUCUUGGCGAACUCCAUUCUCGGAUGAGUCUGCCACUCUGUGUGUCUCGGGUCGGGGAGGAAAGGGUCGGGGGGAAAUAGGAUUAAAAACAAAAACCAUCCCUAGAUACUGGCGCGAAGUUCCGAUGGAAGGCGUCUAGGUAGGGAGUGGUGGGGGGGAUUGUCAUUAGGACAAAUCUUUUUGAAUGUCCGUGUAUUUUGUGUAAAACAGAAAUAAGGAAUGGGGCCAGG